rnacentral:rRNA from 1 species
CCCAAAAAAGACAGUCUCAGUUCGGAUUGAAGGCUGAAAUUCGCCUUCAUGAAGCCGGAAUUGCUAGUAAUGGCAGGUCAGCAUACUGCCGUGAAUACGUUCCCGGGCCUUGUACACACCGCCCGUCACACCAUGAGAGUUGGGAAUACCCGAAGCCUGUGAGCUAACUUUUAGAGGCAGCAGUCGAAGGUAGAAUCAACGAUUGGGGUGAAGUCGUAACAAGGUACC